rnacentral:rRNA from 1 species
CCUACGGGUGGCAGCAGUCGAGAAUCAUGCACAAUGGGGGAAACCCUGAUGGGGCGACGCCGCGUGGGGGAAUGAAGGUCUGCGGAUUGUAAACCACUGUCAUGUGGGAGCAAAUUAAAAAGAUAGUACCACAAGAGGAAGAGACGGCUAACACUGUGACAGCGGCCGCGGUAAUAACGGGGGCUGAAGCGGUGUUCGGCACCACUGGGGUGAAAGGGUGGGUAGGCUGGUACGUAAGUCGUGUGUGAAAGGCGCGGGCUCAACCCGCGGACGGCACAUGAUACUGCGAGACUAGAGUAAUGGAGGGGGAACCGGAAUUCUCGGUGUAGCGGUGAAAUGCGUAGAUA